rnacentral:rRNA from 1 species
GUGCAGCAGUCGAGAAAACUUUACAAUGCGGGAAACCGUGAUAAGGGGAACCCUCGAGUGCUGGCGCAUAGCGUCGGCUGUCCAGAUGCCUAAAAAGCAUCUGAUAGCAAGGGCCGGGCAAGACCGGUGCCAGCCGCCGCGGUAACACCGGCGGCUCGAGUGGUGGCCACGUUUAUUGGGUCUAAAGCGUUCGUAGCCGGCUCGGCAA